rnacentral:rRNA from 1 species
AGCUCUGUAAGCGUAUACCAAAGUUGUUGCAGUUAAAACGCUCGUAGUCGAACCUUGGCGGGCGGCGCGGGGCGUCCUCACGGACGACCUUGUGCUGGCCGCCUUUGUGGAUGGUGGCUCUGUGGUGCUUUACUGCCUCGCGGAGUCGCCGCCACCAUUUACUGUGAAAAAAUUAAGGUGUUCAAAGCGGGCGUUUGCCAUGAAUACAUUAGCAUGGAAUAAUAGAAUAGGACCUGGUCCUUUUUUAUUGGUUUGUAAGUAUCAGGUAAUGAUUAAGAGGGACGGUCGGGGGCAUUUGUAUUUCGGCGCUAGAGGUGAAAUUCUUGGAUUGCCGAAAGACAAACAGCUGCGAAAGCGUCUGCCAAGGACGUUUUCAU